rnacentral:rRNA from 1 species
ACCCCGUGAACCUUUACUAUAGCUUGACACUGAACAUUGAGCCUUGAUGUGUAGGAUAGGUGGGAGGCUUUGAAGUGUGGACGCCAGUCUGCAUGGAGCCGACCUUGAAAUACCACCCUUUAAUGUUUGAUGUUCUAACGUUGGCCCGUAAUCCGGGUUGCGGACAGUGUCUGGUGGGUAGUUUGACUGGGGCGGUCUCCUCCUAAAGAGUAACGGAGGAGCACGAAGGUUGGCUAAUCCUGGUCGGACAUCAGGAGGUUAGUGCAAUGGCAUAAGCCAGCUUGACUGCGAGCGUGACGGCGCGAGCAGGUGCGAAAGCAGGUCAUAGUGAUCCGGUGGUUCUGAAUGGAAGGGCCAUCGCUCAACGGAUAAAAGGUACUCCGGGGAUAACAGGCUGAUACCGCCCAAGAGUUCAUAUCGACGGCGGUGUUUGGCACCUCGAUGUCGGCUCAUCACAUCCUGGGGCUGAAGUAGGUCCCAAGGGUAUGGCUGUUCGCCAUUUAAAGUGGUACGCGAGCUGGGUUUAGAACGUCGUGAGACAGUUCGGUCCCUAUCUGCCGUGGGCGCUGGAGAACUGAGGGGGGCUGCUCCUAGUACGAGAGGACCGGAGUGGACGCAUCACUGGUGUUCGGGUUGUCAUGCCAAUGGCACUGCCCGGUAGCUAAAUGCGGAAGAGAUAAGUGCUGAAAGCAUCUAAGCACGAAACUUGCCCCGAGAUGAGUUCUCCCUGACUCCUUGAGGGUCCUGAAGGAACGUUGAAGACGACGACGUUGAUAGGCCGGGUGUGUAAGCGCAGCGAUGCGUUGAGCUAACCGGUACUAAUGAACCGUGAGGCUUAACCUU